GGGCGGAUGGCAGAGUGGUUGAAUGCACCGGUCUUGAAAACCGGCAAGGGUGCAAGCCCUUCCAGGGUUCGAAUCCCUGUCCGCCCGCCA
rnacentral:tRNA from 1 species